GCCGCUGUAGCUCAGUUGGUAGAGCAGCUGACUUGUAAUCAGCAGGUCGUCGGUUCAAUUCCGACCGGCGGCU
rnacentral:tRNA from 1 species